AAAAAGAAAUUAUAGUACUGUACUUAAUCUAGCUCUGGUUCUUGUCAUUUAGCAUUACAAGUCACCUAGCCUUUUUAUCCGCCAGGAAUUUUGUUUAUUCUUUGAAGUUAUUUAUAACCAAAACACCUCCUCCAAGGGGAAAAUUUUUAAAGAAAAAGCAUUGCUCAGAGAAUUUAGAAUCCAAAAUAUAGGAAGGGGGCGGGGAUGGUAUAAGGAAUUAUUAAAUUGGGAGGAGGAGGGGUCUAAUGUAGAAACUAUUGCAUGCAUAGUGUUCAUAAUCUGAAAGAUGCUAUAUUCCCUUUUACUUCGAAUAAUGAAAAUCAGAGUUGGGUGGAAAGAAGAGCAAGGAUCCACAGUGUGACUCAUACCUUGUUCCACCUCCAAACCUUCCAUAAAGUUACUCAACUUGAAGAAAUAAACAUGUGUUGAAGGUCACAACAAUGAAGUAUUAGAUCGCAUGAAGACCAUGGAAUCCCAGUACUUCUGGUAACAAUAUGAAGAAAAACACCAUCCCAAACUAGUACCAGAUCUCAGACAGACAUUUUGGAAUCACAGGACAAGAUUUUACAAAGAGUUGCUGUCUCCAAUGCUCUUCCAUUCAAUGGUUACGGUAAAUACGGAGCUGCGACUUUCAAGAGCUUAACAAUUCACAACCAUCUGUUGCCAUAUGGAUUGAAAUAUUACAAAAAAGUGACCACUGCCCCAGUGCCAUAGCAUAUGCAUCAUCUUAUACAUGUGUGAUAACAAUGAGGCAUCAGGAAAAUCAAGCAGAAGGGCUCAUAUUAACAUCAGAUGUAAUGAUGGUGACAGUGACAAUAACAGUCUUAGUCUUCUGCAUGUCCAAUAGUUAAAAGGUGGCUCUGGCCCGGUUGGCGUGGCUCAGUGGUUGAGCAUCGACCUAUGAAUCAGGAGGUCAAGGUUCAAUUCCCAGUCAGGGCACAUGCCCAGGUUGGGGCUCGAUCCCCAGUAGGAGGCGUGCAGG